rnacentral:lncRNA from 1 species
GUGGACUUAACCCAUCCACGACAAUCCUUGAUAACAAGAAGUUCGAAGUUACUUGGGGCGCAAGUAAUCAGCCUAUUUCUUAGUUUUACUUCUGUUAUAUUAUGAUUGCCACAGAAGUUUGAGUAUAGAAUUAAUUCUGAUGGGAAGCCUCAAGGCCUAUACUUAAGGCCAUACAAAGGCACCUAUCUGGGUUCGUUUUGCUCUUCGGGCUCGGGUGAUUAAAGUAUAACAGUUGUAAUACUUCUGCAACAAUGAACCAACCAUUAUAUGUUUGAGUACUUGGUUAGUUUUGAUUGCGAGCCUUAAGGCCUACACCUAAGGCCCCACAAAG